rnacentral:rRNA from 1 species
GAGCGGCGAACGGGUGAGUAACACGUGGGUAAUCUGCCCUGCACUCUGGGAUAAGCCCGGGAAACUGGGUCUAAUACCGGAUACGACUUCCAGCCGCAUCCUUGGGGGUGGAAAGUUCCGGCGGUGCAGGAUGAGCCCGCGGCCUAUCAGCUUGUUGGUGGGGUGAUGGCCUACCAAGGCGACGACGGGUAGCCGGCCUGAGAGGGCGACCGGCCACACUGGGACUGAGACACGGCCCAGACUCCUACGGGAGGCAGCAGUGGGGAAUAUUGCGCAAUGGGCGAAAGCCUGACGCAGCGACGCCGCGUGAGGGAUGACGGCCUUCGGGUUGUAAACCUCUUUCGCCAGGGACGAAGGGUGACUGACGGUACCUGGAGAAGAAGCACCGGCUGACUACGUGCCAGCAGCCGCGGUAAUACGUAGGGUGCGAGCGUUGUCCGGAAUUAUUGGGCGUAAAGAGCUCGUAGGCGGUUUGUUGCGUCGGUCGUGAAAACCUGGGGCUUAACCCUGGGCUUGCGGUCGAUACGGGCAGACUUGAGUUCGGUAGGGGAGACUGGAAUUCCUGGUGUAGCGGUGAAAUGCGCAGAUAUCAGGAGGAACACCGGUGGCGAAGGCGGGUCUCUGGGCCGAUACUGACGCU